rnacentral:rRNA from 1 species
GACGAACGCUGGCGGCGUGCUUAACACAUGCAAGUCGAACGGUAAGGCCCUUCGGGGUACACGAGUGGCGAACGGGUGAGUAACACGUGGGUGAUCUGCCCUGCACUUCGGGAUAAGCCUGGGAAACUGGGUCUAAUACCGGAUAGGACCACUGCCUGCAGGGGUGGGGGUGGAAAGCUUUUGCGGUGUGGGAUGGGCCCGCGGCCUAUCAGCUUGUUGGUGGGGUGGUGGCCUACCAAGGCGACGACGGGUAGCCGGCCUGAGAGGGUGACCGGCCACACUGGGACUGAGAUACGGCCCAGACUCCUACGGGAGGCAGCAGUGGGGAAUAUUGCACAAUGGGCGCAAGCCUGAUGCAGCGACGCCGCGUGAGGGAUGACGGCCUUCGGGUUGUAAACCUCUUUCAGCACCGACGAAGCGCAAGUGACGGUAGGUGCAGAAGAAGGACCGGCCAACUACGUGCCAGCAGCCGCGGUAA